GGAACGGGAGCAAGGUAGAAGGAAGCGCUCGGGUCUGCGAGCGACGAGAGGCCCACGGAGGCCCUAGAGACCGUCUAUCUUGGAUAUUUAACUGCAGUUCUGUGAGUAUCCCAACUUAACCAUGAAGAUGAACUGCAAACUGUAAGUCAUUAAUUUCUCAUUACUCUUGGGCACAUUGAUGUAUUUUGGCUUCCUGGUGGGUUAACCUGUUACCUGAAGGUUGAUCUGAGUAGUAAGGAUGUUUUAUUGGUUCAUGGGUAACUUAGGUGUUUGGUUUAUGUUGGUUUUAAUGAUUUGUUAAAAUGGUUACAGGCUCCAAGUUAUUGUUGUAAGCUGGAGUAAUGGGUUUGGUUCUGAUAUUUUUAGUCUUCUUUCAUUCUACUCUCCUGAGCUCUGCAUCUUCAUCAAAUGAGUGUUGCUCUACUGAUGAGGCGGUGGUCUGAGUGAGCAGAGGUGCAUACUGGGAUACAGAGCUGUCUCGAGUCUACAGGUCUGUAGACACGCCCCCUCAGGGGAAACCGAGUGUUUGAGAAACUGUCGUGUCGUCAGUGACAUGGACUGGAAUGUUCUUAAAGAUGGAGACAGGGAUUCAGAAGGAGAAACACCAGGGGGAGAUGAGGGGGCUCCUCAUCUCAACGACUAAAACACGUCAGUCUGACGCAGAGAACCAUGGAACACAUUCAACAGUCUCCUCCAGGCAUCGUGACUCCUCAGGAACAGUUUCAUUUCCAAGAAGGUCAUAUUUUGGGCCAUCCCCAUAUGGAUCCUGCUCCUCAAGAGCCACACCCCUCCACUGGGUGGUCUACUGAACAGAUGAUCUCCUUCCUGUCCUCAGGCUGAUUAAAGCUGCACCGUUUGCAUCUGUGAAGGCCCCUCAUUCAGGAAACCAAUGGACUACAAAGACAUGACUUCAGAGAUGUUGAAUCAACCUGGGACACAUUUUGGAGACGCCAAGCAUAAUCCAUCACCAAUGUGGGACGCCACUGAAGAAUGCUGUACAUAAUUUACGUCUCUGGAGACAUUGCUUGUUCUGUUCUGGGUGCCCUGACAGGAGAGCUGGGGGUGGAUGAUGGAAUGUAAUUUGCUAUGAGGUUUUUACCCUGCAUGAUUGUUUGGCCUUUUAUGGCUCAGUGGUGUGUGUGUGUGUGUGUGUUUGGGUUUGACAUGAGAUGGAAGAUUUUUGAGCAUCUCUAGGGUUCUACUGUGUGUGUGUGUGUGUCCGGCUUGCUUUGACAGUGAUAAUGUUCAUACGGGGGUCUGUGUGAUUGGCGUGGGAUAUUGGAAUGGUCAACUAAAUCAUACCUGAUGGACGGCCACACGUUUACUUAAGGGCCUCCAGUAGACCUGAAGAGCCCUGAGCGAUGCUCCGGAGCGAGAUCCAACACACUGGGCAGGAAGGAGAGUGUCCAACUCAAGUGUAAAAGGAUGCAAGCGGCGUUUUCAGAUCAGUGACUUCAAACUAGGACUACACCAAUCGGGAUCAAUGGAGGAUGGACACCUAAAGGAAUUCCACAAGGAGAGUCUGACGUUGGAAAGGGACCUAAAUGGAUGUUCAAGAUGACCUUCAGACCUGUAAUGAGACGGCUCUUCCUACCUGGCUGGAUUGAUGGAUUGCCCUGUGGAUCUUGUCUUGCUCUCAGUUGCACUUCUUCUCAGGCUGAACUGUAAUUGUAUCGGACAGGACUAGCUGAACGAUUGGUUCCCUUAAAUCAGAACCAACCCGGGAACUCCAGCUAGUGCGCUCUUCGAGCUGAAGUUGUGCUCUUCAGCUGAGGAGGAAAGGAAACCUGCACUGGGAGUUCAAGGUGUAAAGAGGAGGAUGUUUCAAAGUGUUCCAUGGUACUCUGAAGACCGUUGUUGUGUUCCACUGGCUGCGAGGAAGAACCCACACAUCUUCCUCUUGGCCUUUCUCCUCUGAGAAUCCUGGCGCCAUCUUGAAGGAUAUUCCAGCUCAUGUAACUGAACUCACGACAGAUUCUCAAACACUUCGUUUCUCCUGAGGGGCGUGUCUAUGGAACUGAAGACUUCAGACAGCACUGUAUCCCAGCAUGCAUCUCUGCUCACUCAGACCACACUCCCAUGAGUAGGAUGCAACACUCGAGUGAUGGAGAUGUAGAGUUUUAUAAAUAACGAGGGAGGAGACUAAGGUGAUUGGAACACAAUGGAAUGUCAAGUCUGUACAUUUUUAAGCCAUGAAGAUGGUUGGAUAGUUCAGGAAUUGGGCUUUUUAUUAUGGGCAGUCCUUUCACUCAGAUGCCCACUUCUCACUGGAGCUGUACAUGUGUUGGCUGGCAUGAUUUGCUGUUGGUGAUGAGGCGGUCAGGGUGACGUUGCAGGGCUAUGGUCGGCUCUCUGUGAACUCAACGUUUAGAUUUGCUCUGUAUGGUUUGUACCCUGAAUAAUCUAGAUAAUUGUAAAAUGUAGACACGGAUUUGUAUUGAAUGAUUCCCGGUUUUUAGGUUUAAGGUUGUUGUGGGACGUACAUGGUAGUUUGGUUCUUCGUAUGGUUUUGAGUGAUAUAACUUGUACACACUGGGUGCAUAAUAAUGUAAAGGUACACUGAAUAGUAUUAAUGACCAACAGCAACAAACAGAUCUCCUCAAGGUAAGUCUGUUGGCUGUAUUUUAAUGAAGACCAUCGCUGGACUUCAGGAUCUUCCUCCGUUCAGCUCAAGGUGAGGCGCUGGUUAUGUUUUUUCUUUGGUUGGUUCCGGCCGGAAUGUUCGUAUUCCAGUCGGACGGUUUGUGCUUCCCGCCGUGGAAGGUUCUGAGUGCGGUCACUUGAUUUAGUCCCAAUGGUUAGCAUAGAACGUUGUAGUCGGUUUCCAUUGGGAAUUGUUGCCCCCUAUCUUAAACAACUAAAGUUUGAUAUUAAAUACAUACUGAGGCGUACGUCGUACAAUAUGUUGAUAAUUUCCGAUGGUUGCGCCGUACUUUUAACCACGACGACGUUGCGGGACUCUCACUGCGUACAAAACAGCGUUCUACUUGCGGGCCCAUUUUUGACAUCGGAAGGCUGAAAAUCAUUUCAAGGUGGAAGAUAAUUUGACAUUUCUUCAACGGAACCCAGCACCUGAAUAUGGCUGAGUAUAUUUUAUUUAUUAUCGAUACUGCUUAGUGUUCUUUGUUACUUCAGCUUUUGUACGUUCUAAAUAUCUGCUGUCAUUAAUUGCCACAGAAGUUAAACCCUACCCAAUGGAAUGACGUUAAACAAUGACUUUGGUGCAGUGUUACCAACUGGAUAAUAUCAAAGCUAAAAUAAUUGCCGUCAUUCCCACAUGUUACAGUAGAAGAUACUCUAGAACUGUACAAGGUUAAAAAGGUAACAUGUAGUUUGUCCCAAGGUGUCUGCCUCCUCACCCAGAGCCAGACCUCCACCUCCUCACCCAGAGCCAGACCUCCACCUCCGGUCAGAAGUCCUCCAGAACAGCUGAAAGGCGAGGCUGAGAGGCUGGGGACCGGAGGCUUGUGGUGCCAGGGUGGACCGGAGACUGAGGCUGGAGACCAGGGGCCUGCAGCACCGGACCAGAGGAUCAGGAAUCCAUGGCUGAAGGAGCUGAUGGAGGAGUCGUGUUGAAGGAGCUGAUGGAGGAGCCGUGCUGAAGGCCCUGGGCUGGUGGAGGAGCUGGUGGAGGGCCUGCCUGGUGAAGGACGUCUGUCGUGGGGUAGAUGGAGCUUGACUCUGAAACCAGGACUCUGUCUGAGGAGAGCUGCUGGGGGAGCUGAGACGCUGGAGGACGACUAGGAAUCGACCAACAAGGAUUCCUCAACGUGUUUCUGGAGCGGAGGCGAGCUGGUAGGGGAGCCGUGAAUCUGGAGGAUGACAUCACUCUACCAACCAGGGUUACUUUAGGGCCAGACUCGCACUGUUUGUUCCAGACCACUACUCUGGCUGAGGAGAGCUGAUGGAGGAGCCAAGACUCUGGAGGACGACAUCACUCCACCAACGAGGAUCCUCACCAGGAAUCUGGAGGACUGAUGGAGAAGCCAUACAUCUGGAUGGCAAAUCCUGAGGACCACCAGGACUCUACCAUCAAGGAUUCCUCGGGUAGACACACCUGAGCUAAACCCGCCCUGAUCCUGACAUCCUGCUGGUCCCGUCUCCUCAGUUCAUCUGAGCCUCGUCCUCCAGAAGACCUGCUGAGCUCAGCAGUCUGAGGCUGAUGGAUCAAUGACCUCCAGUGGGAGUGAUCUUCUUGACCCCACAUGUAACCGUGUGCUUCCACACGUCUUUCCCUCACGUCUGUCACUAACCUCACUACUUCACUACUCUCUACUGCUUCCACUUUUCUUCCUUCUCUGUGGUUCGAACCUUUACACGGAAGGCGCGUCUUCCUGCCCUCAGAGGGUUUAGCGUUAGGGUUGAGUGUCAGGGUUUAGAGUCAGGGACAGAGCUGGUCAGGGAGGACUGCUUUUACAAAAACCUCUUCACUUACUUUCGGAAUGGUGGUGACAUUUUGAAAAGAUUCAUUUGGGAAAAUGUUUUCCUCUGCUUUCUUUUACAAAAUUGUAUCAAACUUAUGUCAAGUGUUUUUGUUUAUAUAUUAAAAUCCCACAUUGACUUCUACAUGUUUGUUGCGGUUCAUUUAAUUGUCCUUUAACUUGGUUAAUGUCAAGCUAAACUCCCGCAAUACAUUUAAUAUACAUGAUUGUUAUUCUGCAAUGUUCACAUAAUCCAUUUUGUAAAAAUAUGAAACCUCCAUAUUACUACUACAUUCAAGCCUAUUCAUGUAUUUAACAAUGUACAUACUGCCCCGCAGGCCAUUCUCUGCUACUACGACACGUUCAAUCCACCAACCCGUCUCACAUCAAUGUACUAUAGCUACGUUGGUUCAAACGGAAAAUGUAGUUUGGUGUGAGACUGUUGUCCAGCAGAGGGAGCUGUUAUACACCUUAAUUAUACAGAAAUGUCUGUAUUUACAUUUUAAAAUGUUCAUGGGCUGGUCUAGUUUGUCUGCAAAUAACUCUGCCUCCAGCAACAGGAUUGGUUGAAACAUAUGAAGUGAAGGAAAUAAAAGCCCAGGUCACCAGAUCUGAGGUCAGCUGCGGUCAGAUUUUGGAUCAUGAAUGUAUUGAGCUCGGAGGAGCUCAAUACAUUGAGGAGGAGCACGGCAGGACGCGUGUUUACCUGGUCGAUUAGGCCCUGAACGCAGACCCUGAACCCAGACAUCCUAGUCACAGAACCUGUGUUUAAUUAGCCCCGAAUAUAAUUUUUGGGUUAAAAAAAUAAAUAAAAUAUUUAUAAUUAUUUAUAAGUACUAGCCUAGUCUAGAUAGUCCUUCUGGCAAGAGAAUAAACAGUUUAAAAACAUAACCUUUUUACCACCUCAAGUGAAUUAACCUAUCCUAUCCCCAGUCAGAUGUGUGUGUAAAGUCUGUCUCACUUGUAUUCAUUUUACUCUGAAAUAACUGGAAUGGAACUUUAGGCAUUAUGAAAAUAUGUUCAUGCAAAAUAAAGCAUAGAAAUCAUUUUGGCAUUUUCAUUUUCCGUCUGGGCUAAGCCCCGGAUGUUUAUGAAACCUAGAAACACCCCUGGCUUAAGGAGUGGACCCAUCAAAAACUCAUUUCACAAAUGCAUGUUUUUGCAAUCACAAGAGUGGCGAAGUCAUGCCCCUUCCGGUAGAGCUCAUGGGACCUAUGAGAUCGAAAAAUAUGAAUCGGUGUCAAUGGAGUGAAAAUAAUUAUUUUCUGGUCCCAGUCUUUAUAUGCCCUGGAAUACACAUAUGUUUGUGGAUUUAAAUGAUAAUUUUUCAUGCAAAGAAAACUAAAGAUUU